rnacentral:rRNA from 1 species
GACGAACGCUGGCGGCGUGCCUAAUACAUGCAAGUCGAACGAGAGCGACCGGUGCUUGCACUGGUCAAUCUAGUGGCGAACGGGUGAGUAACACGUGGGUAACCUGCCCAUCAGAGGGGGAUAACAUCCGGAAACGGAUGCUAAAACCGCAUAGGUCUUCGAGCCGCAUGGCUUGAAGAGGAAAAGAGGCGCAAGCUUCUGCUGAUGGAUGGACCCGCGGUGCAUUAGCUAGUUGGUGAGGUAACGGCUCACCAAGGCCGCGAUGCAUAGCCGACCUGAGAGGGUGAUCGGCCACAUUGGGACUGAGACACGGCCCAAACUCCUACGGGAGGCAGCAGUAGGGAAUCUUCCGCAAUGGACGCAAGUCUGACGGAGCAACGCCGCGUGAGUGAAGAAGGUUUUCGGAUCGUAAAACUCUGUUGUUAGAGAAGAACAAGUGCUAGAGUAACUGUUAGCGCCUUGACGGUAUCUAACCAGAAAGCCACGGCUAACUACGUG